GUUCCCCUUCACUCCAGGGUAAGUGCUCCACAUGCUUGCUCUGAGGGAAACCCAGCAGGAGGGUUGGUGGCUCUACAUGAACCCUCUCUGCUACUGAAACAGCAGCUGUCCCCAGCGCCUGCACAAGCUCAGCUCGAGAAGGGCCCUCGGGGAAUUCAACAGUGCUGCUCCCAGUGACCCUGGAGACCUCUGCACUCUGCCUAGCACUAGUCACUCCCCCGACACGGGGGCUGGAUUGACUUCUAAGGGGGAUAAGGACAAACUGGGACCCACUGAGGAGAGGGCCUGAAAUGGGAAGAGGGACACAGAAGACUUCACGGUGUCAAGUCCAGAAGGCAGGGUUUCUGAUUCCUUACCAUUUCACCUGCCAGAAGUUCCAUUCAGAGACAAACAAAACAAAGAAAACACAUCAUUUCAGGCUAUGUCUGGAGGACGUGCCUGAGUCCCUGUAGCAGACCCUGCCUUUGUUUACCAAUAUCCAUUUUUCUUUCCCCUUUGCUAACAAAUUCAAUUUGUUUGAGAUAGAAAUGCACCCAGCCUCAAGCGAGGAAUCUAUGGCCAGAUUAAAGCAAGCAUGACAAGCCUGUUCCUCUAUUCCCAGUCCCCUUGCAACCAGGAUUGGACCGUAAGAUACAGGUGCAAGUGUGUGUGUGUGUGUGUGUGUGUGUGUGUGUAUCUACCUCAAGUAAAGCUUCUGCUUUCCUAAAAAAAUAGAUUCAGCUGAUAUGUUCCCUCUUUCCAUUUCUCUGUGUCUGUUUUCUUUUGAAUGUGGGCAUGAUAUCUAGAGUUGUACCAGCCACCUAAGACCACAAGGAAAAAGCCAAGAGAAUCUCAGAGUUGCUGAGUUAAGAUAGCAAUAUUACAACCACCACCACCUGAUUCCUUGUUAUGAGAAAAAGACUCCCUGGUGCAUUUAAACCUCUAUAACCAGGUUUCCAGCUACUUGUAGCCAAACACCUUCCUAAGUGGUAGAAUUUCCAGCAGAGGAGUUGGGGAAAAUGACUUUUUCUGAUUAUCAGCCACUGUACUUCUCCUCUUUCCUCACCUGGGGUUGUGUGGCCCCCAGAUCAAUCCUGCCCCCAGAAGUCGUCCCUAGAUCAAUUCUGACCUGCAGCAGGAGGUAUGAUUUAAGCAGCCUCGUAUCCUGAGCUCUGCAGCAGGAGCGUUUUGCAUCUUCCACAUCAACUCCAGAGUUAUCUCCUCCAAACACAAACCUGAACAUGGCACUCUUCUGCCCCAAAUCCUAUUAACUUCCCUCAGACCCCAAGAAUGGCAUUCAGAUCCUUUCCCAAGCCUUCAAGGCCCUUCCCACCUUGGAUUCAGCUUACUUUCGUAGCUUUAAAUCCCUGUCCUUUUCACCAGGCACCAUCCCCAUCUUCUGGCCCACCUCUGUCACCCCAUGUCCACCAUGGGCUGAUACGUUUGCUCCCUCCUUUGCACUCUUUCUGCACACCUUUGUUAUAGCGAGCGCCACUCUGCCUUGUAGUUGCUUGUUUACAAAUGUUUCCUUCCAGAGAUCGUAAGCUGUGAGGACAAGAGCCCGUCCUUAUUCUGUUUGUAUGUGCUUCAGCUUCCAGAAUAGCUAGUACUCAAAAGAAAUCCUGGGGAUCAAGAAAUAAAACCCCAGUGCUGUGGUUAUACUUUGGACAUUAACCUUGAGCUUCCUCUUUGGGCUGUGUUUGGAGCCACUCUUCAGGUAACUUGUGAAGUUCCCCAUUAUAAGGAAAGGGUUUGCUCAGUUUCCUAUUAAGCAAUAUUUAUUAAGCACCUACUGUGUGCUUGUAUCAGUUAGCUAUAUGCUGUGUAACAAAUACCCACAAAAUCCUAAUGGUGUAUAAUCAUGAGCAUUUAUUUCUCACCGGUCUUUGGGUUGGUGGGGAGUAUUACAAGGUGUUACUACAAGCCCCACUUUUCAGAUGAGGAAACCAGAGGUAUAGAGAGGUAAUGUAAUCAUCCAAGUUUGCAUAGUUGAUAAGGAGCAGAGCCAGAAUAACAAGCAAGAGGACCUGACCUGAGGCUGGAGUCCUAACCAUUAUCUUGCACUACCUCGCUGCUCUAGACUGCAUGUUUGUGUCCCCUCAAACUUUAUAUCUUGAAACUUAAUUGGUGAUGUGAUGGUAUUCAGACAUGGGGCCUUUGGGAGGUGAUUAGAUCUUGAGGGUGGAGCCCUCAUGAAUGGAAUUAGUGACCUUCUGAAAGAGACUCCAGAGAGCUCUCUUGCCCUUUCUGCCAUGUGAGAACACAGGGAAAAGACAACCACCUAUGAACCAGUAAACAGUCUCUCACCAGGUAACAAAUCUGCCAGCAUCUUGAUCUUGGACUUCCCAGCCUCUAGAACUGCAAGAAAGAAAUAUCUGUUGUUUAUAAGCUACCCAGUGUAUGGUAUCUUGUUAUAGCAAUCCAAAUGGACCAAGACAUUCUCCAUCUUGGAGAGUAUCCCACUGUGCUUAAGAAGUUGGCUUGUUUUUUAAAAAAAUUUAAUGUUUAUUUCAUUUACUUAUUUAUUUAUUGAGAGAGAGAGUGCAUGAGCAGGGGAGGGGCAGAGAGAGAGGGAGACACAGAGUCUGAAGCAGGCUCCAGGCUCCGACCUGUCAGCACAGAACCUGACAUGGGGCUCCAGCCCACAAAUCCUGAGAUCAUGACCUGAGCUGAAGUCGGCUGCUUAGCCGACUGAGCCACCCAGGUGCCCCAAAAGUUGACUUGUUUUAAAAAUAACAGCCUAAUAUUCCAAGGAAUGGAUGUGGAUAUACCGUAAUUACUUAGCCAGUCUCUACUGAUGUGCAUUUAAGUUUUUCUCAAACUUUUGCUACCACAAACAAUGUUGCAUGAGCAAUUUGUGCCCAAGUCAUUCAGCGUCUGUGAAGUAUAUCUGCAGGGAAAAUUUCUAGAAAUGGAGUUGCUGGCUCAAAGUUAUGUACCUUUGUAAUUUUGAUAGAUAUUGCUAAAUUGCUUGCCAACAAUCUAUGGACUGUCGGUUUCCCCACACCCUUUCCCACAGGAUGUGUUAGCAAGCUUUUUGAUCUUUAGCAGCACGAUGGAUGAAAAGCAGUAUCUCAGUGUUGUUUUAAUUUGCAUGGUUUUUAUUAUGAAUAGUGUUGAAAAAAUAAUGUUACCUCAUGGGGUUGCCAUGAGGAUUAAAUGAACUAAGACAAUGAAUACACAUCAAGUUCUUAGAACAGUACUCAGUACUUGGUAAGCACUUAAUAAAUGUUUAUUGCUCUUACUAUUAUAUAUUAAAUGGGGGAGAGCAAUGCACAGAGCUCUAUGCACAAUAUGCCACUAUUUCUGGGGAAAAAAGGAAGCAAGCAAAAAUAUGUGUAUAUACAUAGGCAUAUACAUCCACAUCCAUGCAUACAUUGAUGUGUGUGUGUGUGUGUGUGUGUGUGUAUGUACUUGCAUGUGUAUGUAACAUUUCUCAGGAAAGAUAUACAAAAGUAGAAAAACAUUGAUGCCUCUAAGGAAGGAAUUGUGUGCUGGUGACAGGAGAGAGAAGAGAUUUUUCACAGCAUUCCCUUUGUAUCUCAUCAUAUUUGAAUCAUGUGCACGAAUCAUUUAUUCUCAAAUGGGCUGUAGUUACUGGCACUUCCUGUAGGAAGUCUAUGCAAUUAAGAAGGCUCCCAGCUCCAGGGUUUUAGCCCAGAGUCCCGGGGAGAUGACACAUUCCAGUUUGCCACCUUCCCACCCUUGCCUCUUGAGGGCACCAGACUCAGCCCUAAUGGUAGCUCAAAAGAAAGCUGGGUUUGCCACCAGCUGAGGAAUGAAUGGAAAGUACCAGUGUUCAUUCUUCCUUUCCCCCCAUGUUUUCCACACCUAUCACUCCAUCCAACCCCCUCAAGACAGGAGGAAGGACCACAUGAGAAAAAGGGACCCUGAAAUCUUUGCUGUCUUCCAGACGCUCCGUGUGGUAAUGGAAGAAUUCCUGGACUUGAGUACCCUCAUCUAGUCUCAACGAAGCCACCGAUCUCCUGGGGAGACAAGAACCAUCGCCUUCCUGGGCCUUAGUCUUCUGAGAGUGAAAAGGGGUUACUGCCACCCAGCCUACAUCAUAGGGUUUGGAUGAAAUCAAAUAAGAAAUAUGAAGCCACAUUGAACACACCAAAGCGUGAUGUUACAGAACGUGUGGGUGGCAUGGGACAGCGAGUGUUCCUGAGCUGUCACCAAAGACAGUUGCCUCUGCUCCACAGGGCAUCUGUUCGCAGCACAGACCUCCAACCUGGGAGUGCCUCUUCUCAUCCAAGAGAACUGAAUGAAACCCCUUGCCCAGGUACUACCAGAUGUCAGACACCAUGUAGAGAAUAAAGAGAACAAAGAUGCAGGAAAGAGAGAAGCCAAUUCCAGGCUUAAUAAAUGCAGGAAUUUUGCAGGAUGCGUUGGAAACAUCCAACCUCGGUGAAAAUCUGUUGAUUAAAAACUUAACCCUCAGUCAUAAGAAGGAAUAGAACUUUUGACACGUGCUGCAGCAUGGAAGUCAUUAUGCUGAGUGAAAUCAGCCAAACACAAAAGGACAAAUACUGUAUGAUUCCACUUAUAUGAGGUAGCUAGAAUAGGCCAUUCAUAACGGCAGAAAGUAGAAUAGAGUUACCAGGGGCUGGGGGCAGGUAAAUGGGAACUUAUAUGAGUUCUGAGUUUCAGCUCUGGAGAUGGAUUGUGGUGACGGCUAUACAACACUGUGAAGGUACUUAGUACUACUGAAUUGUACAAUUAAAAAUGAUUGAGGGACGCCUGGAUGCCGUCCACCUUCGGCUCAGGUCAUGAUCUUGUGGUUUGUGAGUUCGAGCCCCGCACUGGGCUCUGUGCUGACAGCUUGGAGCCUGG
rnacentral:lncRNA from 1 species